GACGAACGCUGGCGGCGUGCUUAAUACAUGCAAGUCGAACGGAGCCUAGCCGGUAGUUUACUACAGGCGAAAGCUUAGUGGCGGACGGGUGAGUAACGCGUGGGCAAUCUGCCCCUAAGUCCGGGAUAACAGAGCGAAAGUUCUGCUAAGACCGGAUACUCUUCCUUGGUCGCAUGGCGGAGGAAGGAAAGGAUACGCUUAGGGAUGAGCCCGCGUCCCAUUAGCUAGUUGGUGAGGUAACGGCCCACCAAGGCGACGAUGGGUAGCCGGCCUGAGAGGGUGGACGGCCACACUGGGACUGAGACACGGCCCAGACUCCUACGGGAGGCAGCAGUAGGGAAUUUCCGCAAUGGGGAAACCCUGACGGAGCAACGCCGCGUGAGGGAAGAAGGCCUUCGGGUCGUAAACCUUUGUCAUCGAGGACGAUAAUGACGGUACUCGAGGAGGAAGCCCCGGCUAACUACGUG
rnacentral:rRNA from 1 species